rnacentral:rRNA from 1 species
CCUACGGGUGGCAGCAGUGGGGAAUAUUGGGCAAUGGGCGCAAGCCUGACCCAGCAACGCCGCGUGAAGGAAGAAGGCUUUCGGGUUGUAAACUUCUUUUAUCAGGGACGAAGGAAGUGACGGUACCUGCUGUAUAAGCCACGGCUAACUACGUGCCAGCCGCCGCGGUACUACGUAGGGGGCAAGCGUUAUCCGGAUUUACUGGGUGUAAAGGGCGUGUAGGCGGGAGUGCAAGUCAGAUGUGAAAACUCUGGGCUCAACCCAUAGCCUGCAUUUGAUACUGGACUUCUUGAGUGCUGUAGAGGCGAGCGGAAUGCCAGGUGUAGCGGUGAAAUGCGUAGAUAUACGGAGGAACACCAGUGGCGAAGGCGGAUUGCUGGAC